UAUUCUAACCCCUCACGCCUUUGUUUGGUCCUUCAGAGUUCCUGGGAUCUUACAGCUCAAGAAUGGCCAUGUAGCCUUGUUCAUCUUGUCCUCCUCCUUGGUGGCCCCGACCUCAUCAAGCAGCUUUCAUUGUCUCUGCAAGAAUCCCUCCCCAGGGUCCUAUGAUGAUGCUGGGUCCCCAAACCCCAAAGGGCUACUGAUGAUCUCUGCAUUCUUGUGGCCUUGCUGCACUUUCUUGCUGUGUGCCUACAGGUGAUAUGUAGAGAGAAUCAUUGUUUACCCAAUUUUCUGGAAUCCCCUGGAAUACCUGUUUUUCUUCAGAUACUGCUAGAAGGACAUAUGGGCACGAACUGAUUUCAUCUCUACUCAAAGAAGAGAGUUUGGCCUCUGGUUUCCUCACCCUCCAAUGCAUCCUUACUCAGCCUGGAGCUCAAAGUGGAGUCUAUAUUGUUCCCAAUGCACUGCUUCUGCUGGAGUCUUUACAUUUGAAAUUUUGU